CAAUAACGAUAUCAUGCACAAUUAUGAACGUCACUAUGAACAACAUAACCAAGCCUGAAAAAAGGCGCGGUGAGAAAAAGAGACAAUAGAAUGCAAAGAAACAUUAACAUAAUUCGAAAACAUCAGAUGUAUCCCUUGUAAUAUUCUAAAAACGUUUGACCAUAUAUUUCUUAAUUUUCGACGACAGAAAUAAGAAACAAGAACAACAAACAGCCUUUCAACCUUCUCCGGUCAGUCAUGUUAGCAUGCAUUUCCCAGAUCCCUAAAUUUUAGGGCUGUCGCGAGCAACAUCUACGGAACAUUUAAGUAUGAUGUCAUGCAAAGGCUGUUGAGAACUAAAAACAAUUGGAAAGGCAUCGGUGUGAUUUGAAUUCGACUGGAACCUCUGGCUACAGUUAGGCCUGGCGCCAUUAAACUAAAGACUAAUAACCCGAGGAGGAGUCUAUGGUUAAUGCUUUGAUGUGACUGCACCUAUUAUCAGUUCACACGUUGAUUCAUUGGAAAGUCGCUGUCACAUUUUGUUUUAUUCAGUGUUGAGUAGUGCUCAGUAGUUGACUUGCACCUGGGGUACCUUCAUGAACACUGGAGUAUAUUGACAAAAACAUGGCCAGAAAAUAUAAGACAUUUGUUUCGCCUUUACUUUUGAAUUUAACAACUGCAAGUUAUAUCUACGAAUAAAGACUUGUUCAUUCUACUUUAAACUUCCUUAACAACUCGGUUUGUCGUUAAGAGGUUUAGAAAUGUAUUUUGAAGGCAACAAUGAGAUCUUUUGACAUAAUGAAAUUACCAUUAGUUGUCAAUUUCUUUAACUGAAAAAACCUCACAAUCGUGAAACGCGUUAGUCUUUUCAAGCUCUCAGUGUCAUGAUGGACAUUAAGCUACACAUUAUUUUGCUGCUUCAACUUUUACUACCAAGCGGAUAUGCGGAUGAAGGUUGCCUUGAAGAAGCCCUGGGAAUGGAAAAUGGGAAAAUCCCCGACUCUGCCAUCAAAGCUAACUACGAGGUAAAUGUAAUACAUAUAUCUUAUUAAAUGUUUCGGUGUGUAGUAUCGCUGUUUAUUUUUUUCCCA